rnacentral:lncRNA from 1 species
ACCAUCAGACUCAUCAACUUCAGCCGCCACCGGAGCAUUCACCUCCUUCACAGCACUAUCCACCGAAACGCUGACGUUUCGCUCCGGUCGAUUAUUGUUAUUGUUCAGCAUAGAAACCACCACCGGACGCCUCACCGGUAACCUCAACGACUGCGAUUGCGUCCUUGAAACUCCGCGAUGAGCCGUUCAAGGACAUCAUGGUGAGAGAAGAGUGUAGGUGCGAUUUGUGUUAAUAAAGGGGUUUUGUUGUGUGU